rnacentral:ncRNA from 1 species
UGAAAGACGAAGAAGAGGAGGAGUAGACGUGGGCGCAUCUACAGAGAGGGGAGUGGAUGCUGAGAGCUCCCUGAUGGGCCGCGUCGAACGUCGCCUCGGAGUCGCGUCGCCCAAAGAACUCGCUUAAGGGUUUAAGUAGGCGCGACGGGUGCGCCCGUUAUCGCGCCCAAAGCGCCCGAGCUGUCCAACAGCAGCUUGGGAAGGAAGGUGGUACCGCGUGGGUACACCAGGCCCGCGUCCUUCCU